GACGAACGCUGGCGGCGUGCCUAACACAUGCAAGUCAACUUGACUGAAGGAGCAAUCUGACAGUAGAGUGGCGCAAGGGUGCGUAACGCGUAAGUAACUUGCCCCAAGGUAAGGAAUAACGUCGAGAAAUCGGCGCUAAUACCUCAUAAUGCAGCGGAUCCGCAUGGAUAUGUUGUUAAAGGUUUACCGCCUUGGGAUAGGCUUGCGUCUGAUUAGCUAGUUGGUGUGGUAACGGCACACCAAGGCUACGAUCAGUAACUGGUCUGAGAGGAUGAUCAGUCACACUGGAACUGAGACACGGUCCAGACUCCUACGGGAGGCAGCAGUGAGGAAUAUUGGGCAAUGCUCGAAAGAGUGACCCAGCAACGCCGCGUGGAGGAUGAAGGUAUUCUAUAUCGUAAACUCCUAGUGAGAGCAGACGAAAGACAGAUUAUUAAUCUGGAUGACUGUAUGCUCAGAGGAA
rnacentral:rRNA from 1 species